CUGUACCGUGGGUGAAUGAAGAGGUCGAGACUUUGUCUUUGGUGGCGGACCAAAGAAUACAGAGAGAGCUGGACGGAGAAAGUUUAUCAGGAGGUCUCUGAGCGGAUGGCCGCUCACAUAUACAGUAGACUGUAUAUAAAGAGGACAGAAGCAGUGUAGGGAGAAGCUGAAAAAGCUCAAAAGUGACUAUCGGUCCACCCAGGACCACAACGGCCGGCGUGGGUCAACCAGGAGGUGUUGGAAGAGGUUUAAUGGAAGCUAUUUACUGGCACCGCACCGGCGAGCAACAGGAGGGAGACUCAGCCGCUGCAUUGUUGGAGACGUUCGAGGACGAAUCCCUUUCCACAUGCGAAGCCUACUCCACCUCCGUCGCGGAGCCCCCGGCUGCCCUGCCUCCUUUCCACCAGCUGCAGCGGCUCCUCUCCAGCACCAGCACCAGCUCGGACACCGACACCAGCACGUCACAGCAACGUCUUAUCACCGGAUGACACCAACAGCCGAAACCAAAUUCUGU
ensembl:lncRNA